rnacentral:rRNA from 1 species
AGAGUUUGAUCCUGGCUCAGGAUAAACGCUGGCGGCGUGCCCAACACAUGCAAGUCGAACGCUCUCUGGCAACAGAGGGAGUGGCGGACGGGUGAGUAACACGUGGGUACCUACCCCAAGGUGAGGAAUACCGGCGAGAAAUCGCCGACAAUACCGCAUAGGUUUCCGGUCAUUCGGAAACAAAGCUUCGUAAGAGGCGCCAUGGGAAGGGCCUGCGGCCGAUUAGCUAGUUGGUGAGGUAAAAGCUUACCAAGGCGACGAUCGGUAGCUGGUCUGAGAGGACGAUCAGCCACACUGGGAUUGAGAACGGCCCAGACUCCUACGGGGGGCGGCAGUGAGGAAUUUUCGUCAAUGGGGGCAACCCUGAACGAGCAACGCCGCGUGCAGGAAGAAGGUUUUCGGAUCGUAAA